AAACUUUACAAUGCCGGCAACGGCGAUAAGGGGACCUCGAGUGCCAGGAUACAAUCCUGGCUGUCGUAAUGCCUAAAAAGCAUUAUAUAGCAAGGGCCGGGCAAGACCGGUGCCAGCCGCCGCGGUAACACCGGCGGCUCGAGUGGUAACCGUUAUUAUUGGGUCUAAAGGGUCUGUAGCCGGCCGGAUAAGUCUCUUGGGAAAUCUGGCAGCUUAACUGUCAGGCUUUCAGGGGAUACUGUCUGGCUCGAGGCCGGGAGAGGUGAGAGGUACUUCAGGGGUAGGGGUGAAAUCUUGUAAUCCUUGAAGGACCACCAGUGGCGAAGGCGUCUCACCAGAACGGACCUGACGGCAAGGGACGAAAGCUAGGGGCACGAACCGG
rnacentral:rRNA from 1 species